UCAGAAUAAUGUGUUACUCAAACUAUAACCCCUGGAAGGGGCGCCUGGGUGGCUCAGAGGUUUGGGCUGCUGCCUUCGGCUCAGGUCAUGAUCUCAGGGUCCUGGGAUCGAGCCCCGCAUCAGGCUCUCUGCUCAGCAGGGAGCCUGCUUCCUCCUCUCUCUCUCUGCCUGCCUCUCUGCCUACUUGUGAUCUCUGUCUUUCAAAUAAAUAAAUAAAAUCUUUAAAAAAAACAAAACAAAACUAUAACCCCUGGAAGAUUUUACUAGUUACCAAGCACAUUUAGAUACGGCCUUAAGAAAAACACAUGCUGGCCACAGAUCUCUGCGGGAAAGGACGAUGUACACGACCCUGGAGCGACCCUGGAGCGGGGCAGCGGGGGAUGCCCGGCCCGCUGAGGGCGGAGCGGAACACAGAAACACCGCCUGCUUCCCUUUUCCAUUAUCGCUCCUUCCUCUUCCCCAAAGCGCCUGUUGUGAGUUAGAUAAGUCCUUUGAAUGUGCUUGGUUAUAACUACAAACUUUUCCCUCCUUCUUGUUUGUCCACAAGACCUGUGACUAAUCUGCGGGCGAUUGUGUCUAUCUAAUAAAAGCGAGACUGAGGAGUUGCUGGGGGCAACAGUCUCUUCUGCUGCUGUCUCCUGCUCCCUUUCUCCUGCAGCUUGACUUGGUUGUGCCUCAUUCUUCUCCCGUUUGCUGACUGGAAGCGGCAAGUGGCGCCCGAACAGGGACUUGAAACGAAGCAGGAGAAGAAGCCUCAACAGAGAGAUCACAAGUAGGCAGAGAGAGAGAGGAAGAAGCAGGCUCGCCGCCCAGCAGAGAGCCCAAUGCGGGACUCGAUCCCAGGACCCUGAGAUCAUGACCUGAGCCGAAGGCAGCGAGGCAGCGGCCUAACCCACAGAGCCACCCAGGUACCCCAACUUAUGGAGCUUUUAAAGUCCUCAGAAGCACAUGAAAAUCCCUCCAAGGACUGAAGAAUCAAGGAACUGCAAAAUCAACUUUUCUACUUCUUCACAAACAAAAAGGGGGAGAUGCAACUGCCCCUCAGAACAAUGUGUUACUUAAACUAUAACCCCUGGGGGGUUUUACUAGUUAACAAGCACAUUUAGAUACGGCCUUAAAAAAAAAAACACAUGCUGGCCACAGGUCUUUGGGGGAAGGGGCGAUGUAUAGAACGCCCAGCCCGCUUAGAGCUGAACGAAACACCCUGCUUCCCUUUUCCAUUAUCGCUCCUUCCUCCUCCCAAAAACACCUGUUGUUAGUUAGACGAGUCCUUUCCUUUGAAUGUGCUUAGUUAACUGUAAAUUUUACCUUCCUUCUUGUUUGUCCACAAGACCUGUGAUUAGUGUUUGACCUUCAUCAGCUUUUCUGUGGGCUAUUCUUUCUAUUCUAAUAAAAGUGAGACUGAGGAGUUGCUCGGGGCAGCAGUCUUUCAACUAUUGUCUCCUGCUCCCUUUCUCUUGCAGCUGACUUGUUUGUGCUUCAUUCUCCUGUUGGCAGACUGGAAGUGGCAAAUGUGCAAUAUUUUAAAAGUUUUAUCUCCCUUCAAUAUAAAUUCAAAUGUAUGUGAUCAUAUUAAGAUUUUUAACAAUGACAUAUAGAAUAUCCUCCCCUUCCAUCCCAUUUUUAUAAAACAAGUGCUGUGUUGUGGCAUCUGGGUGGUUCAGUCUGUUAAGUGUCUGCCCUUGGCUCAGGUCAUGGUUCCAGGGUCCUGGGAUCAAGACCCACAUCAGGCUCUCUGCUUGGUGGGGAGUCUGCUUCUCCCUCUCCCUCUGCCUGCCACUUUCCCUGUUUGCACUCUUUCUGUCAAAUAAGUAAAUAAAAUCUUAAAAACAACAAUAACAAACUAACAAGUGCUGUCUUACAAAAACCCUUGGAAUUUCAAACACUUAUUACAUUCAUGCUAUCAGUUUGCCAACCUUCUUUGGACCUCAUUUUCAGAAAAAUCUUGAGAACCCUUGUCAAAUAGUCACAGCAAUAACAGUAAUAAAAAGAUAGCUAAUAGACAAUUUGAAUUCUCACCUUUUAAGCAUAGAUUUAAAUUCUGGAAACACUCAAGUUUGGUGACUCCUAAUCCAUUUUUUAAAAAUAGACUUUAUUUCUGGAGCAGUUUUCACAGCAAAAUGGAGCAGAAAGUACAGAGUUCCUAUACCUCCUUUCCCCAUUAUCAACACCCCACACCGCAGUGAUCCAAUUGUCACAACUGACGAACCCACACCAACACAUCAUUAUCACCAAAAGUCUGAAAUUUCCAUUAGUAUUCACUCUUGGUAUAGCACACUCUAAGGGUUUUCCUAAAUACACAAUAACAUGUACCCACCAUUAUAGUGUUAUACAGAAUAAUUUCAAUGCCCUAAAAAUUUUCUGUGUGUGCCUAUCCAUUCAUUCCUAUCCCUUCGCCCCUGGCAACCAGGGAUCUUUUACCGUCUCCGUAUUUUUGCCAUAGAAUGUCAUAGAGUUGAAAUCAUACAUGUAGCCCCUUCAGAUUGGCUUCUUUCACUUAAUAAUAGGAACUUAAGUUUCUUCAUGUCUGUUUGUGGUCCGAUGGCUCAUUUAUUUUUAGCAUUGAGUAAUACUUCAUUGUUCAGAUGUACCAUAGUUUAUGUGCCCACUCAGCUAUUAAAAGAUAUCUUGGUUGUUUCCAAGAUUUGGCAAGUUUAAAUAAAACUGCUAUAAAUA